CCGACCUUAGCUCAGUUGGAAGAGCGCGAGACUGUAACGGAUAAAAAAAGAUCAUCUUGAGGUCGCCUGUUCGAGCCAGGCAGGUCGGA
rfam:Paxillus rubicundulus Ve08.2h10 scaffold_1161_c1, whole genome shotgun sequence.